rnacentral:lncRNA from 1 species
GUUUAUGUGAGUACCUUAGUACCUUCAUUAUCCCAAGGCCUCAUCAUUGGGAUGGAGUCAGGCCAAUUGGUUUUUAUCAAGAAUUAAGCUUUAAAAAAGUGUUCUAAUGGAGCAGUGUGAAUGGUUUCAUUUUUCCUCAAGGUUUUCUUUACUCUACGAGUAAUUAUUGUAAUGCGGAUCAGUUGGCUGCUUGAUAAAAAAAUUUCCUUCAAGAUGCUUGAAUCAUGAGAAAGGGCGCCCUUUCUCAUGCUUGAAUACUGUGUUUCAAUGAAAGAGUCCUUGCAAGUGUGCUUCUUAUACAACCAUACUGGCAGUCAAAAGUAUAUUGUGACAUCAGUUCACACGUUUCAAUUAGCUGUAUCGUUUUCUGUCUUCCUCCCCUUUGUUUUAAUGUGAAGUAUAUUUGUACCCUUAUUCCUGGUGGAAGAGUAUAAAAUUCUGCAUGCUCUUUCACGAAUCCACAGUCUAGCCUUGCAGUGAUCUGCUCACUAGAAGAGAUACCUUUGUGGGUAGUGUUGGUGUGGGCUACCAAGUUAUUUAAUUGGCUGCUCACUGGCUAGCCUGACCACAUCGUGCCUAUCCUGGAGGUGUGACUGCUCAGCAUAUGUCAUUGGCUUAUUUUUCUUGUGGUUACCAGUAUUCUCCACUUUUAAUUCUAGUAAUAAAAUCUGCAUAUGCAUCAUGACCAGCACUUGAGAUGAAUGGGAUUCUAUCAUCUGCAUAUGCAUCAUGACCAGCACUUAGAGAUGAAUGGGAUUCAAUCAACUUUUUGGAAACCUACAAGUCUUAAUGCUGGUACAUUGAAAUUAUCUUUUGUAACAAUUCAAUGGUACAAUUCAGUUCUUAAUUUCAGAAAAUCAAUCAAAUAACCCAGCAGCCAGGAUAUUAUUAUCUACCCGCACAUCUGUAAGGGAGGAACAGUUGCCUUUUGCUCAAUUACUCAACCGUCACAAUGGAGAUAUCGGGAUUUUUCCUUAAUUUGGGCAAUAUAUUAUUUUGUGCCGUCAAUCAGACUUUCAGCCAUGGAACAGAAAGAGAUCUUCAGAAAGUCAUUAGCUCUUCAAUUUGAUUAGUAUUUUAUUCAUAAACUUUGCUCACAACAGAAAACCCCACCCUGUGAGCGGAUUCAUCUUACACCAUGGUUUUCUUUACCCUUUAAACUUGCAAUGAUUGCCUUGGCCUCAAUCACCCAGUAAAGGCUGAUCAAUGGGCUGCCUGAUUAAAUUUGUUUUCUUCAUCAAGACGGUUCGAUGUGGAUUAUCGUAGUGCCCUUAUGUCUGGUGGAAGAGUAUGCUGCAUGCUCUUUCAUGAAUCCACCGUCAAGCCUUGCUGUGAUCUGCUCACUAGAAGAGAUUCCUCUGUGGGUAGUGCUGGCGUGGGCUACCAAGUUCUUUAAUUGGCUAUAUAGAAGGCUGCUCACUGGCUAUCCUGACCACAUCGUGCCUGUCCUGGAGGUUUCUUUUACUUGUAUUCCAAUAUUCAGAUGUUUUAAUGCAAGAAAGGUAAUCUGUAUGUAAGUGAGAGCACAUUUUCGAAUGUUGGUGUCAUUGUGAUCAUUUCAUUAUUAAUGCAUGAGCUGAGAGUACUUCCCUAUUCAAGUGUACUAUUUGGAGAUUGGGCAGUUUUUUGAUGGUUGCCAUUUUCCACAGCUUCCAAACUAUU